rnacentral:lncRNA from 1 species
UGCCUUUUUCUGUCGAUAGAAGACUCACCUACAAACUUCACUGAAAAUGAAUCGUCAGUUGACAAUUGCUACAAUUUCGGUGGCCGUCAUCUUGUUGCUGUGUUCCGGACCAGUCGCUGGCCGCUUUAGUAAACACGAUGGAGAUUUUGCCCCAGGAUAUAACCUAGAUUUCCUCCAAACCGCCGAUCAAUACAAAGAAUCAGCGAGAGUAAAACGAGCGACUUUACCUGAGCUGGAGAAGCACGAUACAGGAGAUGCAGUUCACUUGCGCUCGAAGGAAGAAAUGAAGAUGGAAGCUGGUGAACUUCGCCAAUUUGUUAAAAAUCUGAAUUGAAAAUAGAUAAAUACUGCAAUUAGCUUGUAAACCACGAGUUAAAGAAAUACAAAAUUAA